UACGUAGGUGGCAAGCGUUGUCCGGAUUUACUGGGCGUAAAGAGCGCGCAGGCGGCUGGUCAAGUCCGAUGUGAAAUCUCCCGGCUUAACUGGGAAACUGCAUCGGGAACUGAUCGGCUUGAAGGUGGGAGAGGGUAGUGGAAUUCCCGGUGUAGCGGUGAAAUGCGUAGAUAUUGGGAGGAACACCAGUGGCGAAGGCGGCUCACUGGACCGGUACUGACGCUGAGGCGCGAAAGCGUGGGGAGCAAACAGG
rnacentral:rRNA from 1 species